rnacentral:misc_RNA from 1 species
GAUGAAGAACGUAGCGAAAUGCGAUAAGUAAUGUGAAUUGCAGAAUUCAGUGAAUCAUCGAAUCUUUGAACGCACAUUUCGCCCGCUAGUAUUCUGGCGGGCAUGCCUGUUCGAGCGUCAUUUCAACCAUCAAGCCCUGCUUGUGUUGGGGUCCUGCGGCUGCCCGCAGGCCCUGAAAACCAGUGGCGGGCUCGCUAGUCACACCGAGCGCAGUAGCACAUCUCGCUCAGGGCGUGCGGCGGGUUCUUGCCGUAAAACACCCCCUUUUUACCAAGGUUGACCUCGGAUCAGGUAGGAAUACCCGCUGAACUUCAGCAUAUCAAUAAGCGGAGGA